rnacentral:lncRNA from 1 species
UAUCAGGACUUGAUCUUUCUUGCAACAAGCUAAUUGGUCAUAUUCCCCCUCAAAUUGGAAAUUUGACAAGGAUUCAAACAUUGAAUCUAUCACACAACAACUUGACAGGAUUGAUCCCAUCAACAUUUUCAAACUUGAAGCAAAUCGAAAGUUUGGAUCUUUCCUACAACAAAUUGAAUGGGAAAAUCCCUCAUCAACUUGUGGAGUUAAAGGAAUUAGCUGUUUUCAGUGUGGCAUACAAUAACUUAUCAGGCGAAAUUCCAGAAUGGAAAGCACAAUUUGCAACCUUCAACGAGAAUAGUUAUGAGGGAAAUACUUUUCUUUGUGGACUGCCAUUGCCCAUUUGCAGAUCACGAGCAACUAUGUCGGAGGCGUCAAUCGGCAAUGAACGAGAUGAUAAUUUAAUUGACACGGACAGUUUCUUUAUCACAUUUACAACAUCGUACGUAAUAGUGAUAUUUGGAAUUGUUAUUGUUUUAUAUGUAAAUUCUUAUUGGCGACGUAGAUGGUUUUACUUUGUUGAAAUGUGGAUAACUUCAUGUUAUUAUUUUGUUGUAGACAAUCUUAUUCCAACAAGAUUUUGUCAUUGAAAUUAAUUAGUAGCUUAAUUACGAUUCUUUAAGUACUAAUCAAGUUUGGUUAGGAAAUAAAUUUAUUUUUAUUUUUUAUUAAAAUUGUAGUAGUAUUUAGCGUUAUAUAGCUUCCAACUUCCAAGCACUUCACAUUUGUCUCCACACUUCCAAACCCAUAUCUAUCCACCAUAACUUAUACUUCCCUAUACUGUGCAGCAUACUUAAAUAAGAGAACCAUCUCCAAUUUUAAAAGCAGCCACUCUAUAACAUUCAUUUAGAAACUAUAUUCAGAAUAGUUUUAUAAUCAUACACAAGAAAUGAAACACCUAGAUGCACUUGAUCGCCUAUUUUACUUUAAAAAAUAAUGAUUAUGGUGCUAUCAUCAUCUUCUUCGCUAGCAACAUUAACACCAAAUCCAGCGAUGGACCCAGACAUUUUAUCAAGAAAGGUAUAUAUAUAAUAAAGUUGAAGCUUGACAAAAAAUUUAGGAAGAUUAAUGCCUCGCCACAACAAGGGGCAGCACAACAUCAAAGUAGAGAUGAAGCAAUAUUCUCAAAGCUAAAACUCUCAAAUCCACCCACCAGAAUUUCAUAUCUCCUCAACAAUUUUAAGAACUAAAGAUAAUUAGGAUCUAACAUUAGUUUUUUAUAUAUUAGUUUCAUAAUUUACAAAUCAAUGAAGAUGAAGAUUAUGCUAAUGAAUUCAAAUUAUACCAUACAUUCUCGAGAUGUUACCAAAAAUUUCUAAGUCAAUCCCACAUAUUUCAUAAUUUUAAGACUAGAAAAUUUCAUUAGUUAGAAGUUUCAUUACCUUCAAGUGGAAGAUGAAGAACAUUAUACAAUUGAUUCAGAUUAUAUCAUACACACUCCAAAUGCAACUAGAAAUUAACAAGUUCAUGCGCACAGAUUUCAUAACAUUAUGAAUGGAAAGUUUCACAAAGAGAAAUUCUAAAUUCAAUCUCUUGCAUCGAGGUAGUUUGAUUGAUUUGAGUUACUUUCUGAUCAAGCUAUUAAUAUAACAUUCAAGUCAGGGAGAAAGUAAAUUAAAACUGGGAAGAAAUAACAGUAAAAAUUUGUUGCUAAACAUGAUGUGUAUUUUUUUUUUAAGGCAAUUUGGAAACACAGUUGUUACUACAGAUAUUCUCCUCAACUUAGAGAUAAAUACAAAUAUUAAAAUGCAUAUGAUCGCACAUAGUACUUGGAGCUUAGUAAGAUUUCAUUAAGAGAAGCAAUCAAACCACUUAUCAAUUGUUGCAAUCGUUCUAUAAGCUAAAAUAGCAAUAUAAUACAAGAAAAAGAACAUAUAGAUACUUGGCAAGAGUUCAUUAAGAAGUCGCAUCACAUUCGGGUGAGGAGUUUGCUUCUGAUAUCUUGCUAGCUGGGGCUUUUUCUUGUCUUUCUACGUAUGCCGAGGGAAACCAACCAGCUUGGCCCUUGCAUUCACCUUCCGACCAUCCAAUAGGAGCCACCUUGAGAAGUUAUAACUAAAACGGUGAAUUAAACAAAAGUUGACCGUUCAAAGACCUAAGGGGAAAACUAAUUCUUUUACGUAGGAGGAGUGAAUUAGUUGUGAUCACUGAAAUAACAGCUUAACUAUGGAAGCAUAACAAGAUAUAAAUUCACACGUCUAUAAGGGUAAACUGGGUGGUUUAGAACUGAGCUAGCAACCCUACUAUAUUCUGAUUUGCACUUCAAUGUAAAAGGGAAUAUAUGGUAGGAAGAAAGAAAACCAACCAUCAUUUGUUAACUCAUUGCUUUUCAAUCAAAAUUUUAAGAACCAAAUGCCAUGUGCUUUGAACAUCAAAUAAGUAUAAGCAUUAGUUCUAAAUUCCACAUAUCAUAAGUUAGAAGGAUAAGUUAAUAGCAUAGUAGAAAAAUCUGUGUUGUUAUUUAGAGGGGAAAGUACCUGGCGAACCACAACAUAAUCAUCAAUUGAAAGACUUAGCUCUCCAUUUGCUUGUGCAUCAAAUGGAUGCAUAACCUGCAAGAUAAUGGGAUAAAUAGAACUUAAUCUUAAAAAAAGCAUAACAAAAGCAGCAACAGUACCAGCAACGUUCAUUGUAACCACUAUGAUCAUGGCCAACAAAGAUAUAUUAGAAACAAAAUUCCAUUUUUACUAUGAUAUCAUGACGAUUGGGUUACCAAGAGCUAUCAAAGUCCAAUAAGUUCUGUAUAACUUUAUGUAGUUAUUCAAAUUAUGUAUCAGAUUUUAAAUCUGAAAUUUUGACUGCUCUCCACAAAACAUGGCCUAUGCACAAGAAAUUCAUAGAUAAUGAGGAUUGCAAGUGUCUGACAUCUUUUGAGUGAUGGAUUUAACAUGAGAGCUUAUGGUCAGUCAAUUUCCUCUGCCUAGCAAUAUAAGCUUUCUCGGCCAAAUUUAUCAUCAAAUACAUAGAUUGCCCCAAGUCAAAUCCAUAUAAACAUAGUUUUUCUAGGUAAACCAAGCAAGGAGAAUCAUAAUUCAGACAUAAUCAUAAAAAGGCCCAUCUAACUUAAGAGAAAAUCUCAAAAAGAGGGAUGUUGAGCUAUCAGUCUUGUAUCCAUAAGGAAUGUCAAGACUUUACAUCACCUGCUACAUCGUGAGUGGCUACACAACUUUCAGUGGUUUGUCUUUCUUUGGCAUGCCUAACUCAGCUUUGAUGUUGCUGAGAUAUUGAUAGUAGAGACACAUGAGACUUCUAGCUCAUGCAUUCUAUCUAGCUCAUCCGACAGCUAUCUCUUUUUUAAUUCAUUAGUGUUUGCUAAGCCACAUGCUUAAAAGUCCUGUUGUUCUAAACAAAGUUUCCUAAGAAUGACUUCCUCAGCACCACAUUUGGACAUUUUUAGAGCAAUUUUAUUUGGGGGAAAAGAAUUUUCAAGGUGUUAACUAAUAAAUUUUAAAAAAUAAUUACAAUUUGUCCUACGAUUAUAUGACAAUUUAUCUGGGAUGAAAGGAUAUAGACAGACAUCUUCCACUUUCAAGACUAAUCACUACUUCCGUAGAUGUUUUGCAAUAAUACAAAUACUUGACCAGAUGGUAGUGAUGGUAGAAAAAAAUUUUAUUGCUCCAAAAUUAAAAUAAGAAUGCAAUGUGUUAAGCAAAAGACUAUGCAACAUCAAAUUAAUUGAUAAGUUUGUAAUUCAGUAAAUUAACAACUUUCAUGGUAAAAUACAACAAAUUUCUUUUCAAAAAAAAAAAAUCUUAAAAGACAGCAUUCAAUUUUGUGCGCAUCUUAUUUCUUAAGAUUUUCUAGGAGGGCAAUAGAGGGACUUUCACCUAUGCAAGAGAGCAGAAGCCUUACUUUCGCUAUAAAGUAGACGUCAUUCUGAUUAAUAUGCGUUUGCAAAUCAGCUCCAUUUGAAUCAGUAUUCUGAUAGACACAUGAGGCAUUUACAUCCAUUUCCAAAGUCACAUGUUGCGAGGAGGACUCAUUUGAUUGCUCCUCUAGGAUCAUCUAAUUCAAGUAGCAAGGGUUGGAAGAGAAUAAAAAGUCACAAUUAUUCUUUUGCAUAAGUGAGACGAAAAUGAUAUAUGCAAUAUUAUCAGCAGUAAACAAGAAGAGAACACUCCAAGGAAUAGAUAGAUGCGGACAAGCAAGUUAAAAUGCACAGUUCCAAACCUCCGCAUACAACUUCUCUGAAAUAGCAAUAACGUGUUGAUGAUAUGUUUUCUCGGCAUCUACCUGCAAAGGCCCGAGACCAGGAAAACAACAAUAAAACCACUAGCUAAAGGAGAAAGUAAAGAAAGAAAUACACUUGACAUAAAUCUUGACAAGAAGCACAAUUUAAGACAUAACAAACCCCAAUCAUAUUGUUUAGAACUACCAUUCGUUAUUUCGUUAUUGUAGCAUUUCGAACAAGUGUUGACUUAAUUCAACAUUGUUGGAAAGAUAGGCUUUUAGAAGCGGAAGAAAGCCACUCAAACCAAAGUGAUUCUUAGGAUGAGUUUUAAUCACUCCCCUGAUUUAUUUGGGUUGCAGUAAAACUAAGCGAGCAACUGUUUGACUUUCAAGCAACAUCUAAAUCAGCUAUUAAAAUUCAAAUAAAAUUAUAAUUGAAUAAUAACUGGCCAUCUUGCAUCAAAAAUUAAGUUUAAUUUGUGAUUUUUUUUCUAUAGACAUGUUAGUUCCUGCUAUUGAAAUGUUAAAAGCAUUGAAAAAUUAUUCAAUAAAUUAUGCAAACAUUAAAAUAGAGGACAUAUUAAAAAGUUUCUAAUUACAAUGUUAAGAUUUCCUAUAUUUUAGCAUUUGCAUAUUUUAAUUUAUUUAAAAGCUACGUCGAUCAACUUUGGGAGUGAAGAUUUUAGCUUCUACGAGACUUGAUUGGAAUAUGCAUAAGGAAGAGUGUUAAAAUAUGAUGCAUCCAACGAAAGACAAACCACGUGUAGUCUUUUAAUUAAGCCAAAGUAGCAGCUCAAACAAAUGACACUUGGACCAACAUGCAAUCAUGAAGUGGCCGGAAAAAGGACAAAUGCAACUUUGGCUUAAAUAAAAAAUAACAUGUGACUUGACUUUUGCCGGACAUGCAUCAUGUUAUUACAAGACAACAGAAAUCAGUAUGAUAGUACUAAAAGUUGACAAUAACAUGAAGAUAAGAGGCAGAAUGUCAACACAUGCAUAGGCACACACAAGAAAGUAUUAACUUAUAUACCAUAGCAAAAAGUCUUUGAUAUGCAUCUGUUGCUGCAGUGAUUCAACUGACAGCAUGGCAGCUGUUCCUUCUCUACCAAGAGCCAUUAUUGUAGAUUUAAGCUCGGUCAAUCUUGCUUCUGCAUUUCGAAGCUUCACAGCACUCUCUGCUGAUAUAUCAGAUUCCUUAAUCUUUGAUCGGCGCCUAAAUACUUCAGCUGCCUGGUGAAAAUAUUCAAUAUAAAUCUAACAUAAUUCUAAUCUUGCCUUAUACAUGCAUAUGUUAACUCAAAGCUUACCUGGGCUUCAACUUCAUGUCGAAGCUUGUCAUAACGAUGAGUCAGGUGUCGAGCAUCUUCCAAAGGUGCUCCGUUGAUUAACGCCCGUAGUGGCUCAGAUACCUACAUGUCCAAAAACCUGUAACAUAGUUAGAAAAAUGAAAAGAAAGAGCGAAACCUCAAUUAAAAAGUUCCUCCAACAUAAUCAUGGAAUUUGGGCCUACUUCAAGGAUAUAUAUAAGGAUAAUUUAUGCAAUUUUGGGUCUUAGGAUGAUUCAUAUUAGGUUAGUGUUCUUCUCUUCUGUAUUUAAGGUUAAAAUAGAAAUAAACCUAUGAAAAUAUCUAAAUUAGGGCUGUAAGACUUCCACAUGCAUCCUUCAGUCUCAUGGAUUUGAUUUUACUAUAGAUGCAAGUGUCUUUAUUGAAAAUGCUUGGAGUCAAUUGAGAGAACUCACGGCCAAUAACUUGUCACACGCUAGUCUUUGCUAGUGAUGUAAGAAGUCACAAGGUCUCUUCAGCAUUUGAACCAAUAAAAUUAUUAAGUCAUGGAUGUCACUAGCAAUGAUUUUAAUAUAAAACAUUAAAUAUUUCAGAGUUGUAACUUUAAAAUGGAUUCUUUUAUUCAAUAUCUUAGAACUAAGUUUCCUUAUGAGAAGAUAAUAGUUUCAGUAGUAAUUUACAUAUAAUUUUCUAUAUUUGAAUUAUUUUCUAGUUAGGGAUGAACUAACCUGAUCACGAAGAAUCCCAAGCAAAGUUUCCCUCUCAUUUUCCAUCAAAUCAUGUGAAGUGCCAAAUUGAAGAGCAGCUCUUGCAACGCAAGAAUUGUCACUUUGAUUCUCCGCUCCAUACUUGCAACAAUCUUCGGCCAACUUUCUCGCUACAAUAUUUGAAUACAAAAAUAUUGUACACAAGAACUAGUCAAGAAAAUUAAAAAAAAAAUCAAAUAUUAAAACGAGAGCAAGAGCAAACAAACAACCUAUUUCCAUUUGUUUCAAGUUUACUGCAACAAACACUUCAACGCCACGGACAACAUUCCAUUUGUUUUAUUCUUCUUAUACUUUACGCUUGCAUCAGCCUCAAUCACUUCUUAAUCGCUUGCUUUAACUGCAUCGCUCUCUCUGUGCUCUUCUAUAUAUGUAACGGUUAUGCGGUUGUAGUUCACGGCUGAGGCUACGUGUGGGUUUGACGUGGCAGUUACGUUACAAGGGGAUAAAUAAGAUUGGUUACAACAAACCCACUAAUUUUAUAAAAUUCGAGUAAUAUAGAAUAAAAUAAAAAAAUAAAUACAAAAUUGGCUUUUAUUUUGUAUGGUUGACUGUAUUUUGUGUUCUCUUCCGGCACUACUACAAUUGUUCCCUAUAUAUUAGUCACACCCAUAUAUCAUUAACACAAGAAAUGAAAUCUAAUGUCACCUACUUAGUUAAAGAAUCACUCAUGAAAAAUUUUUACCAUUUUGAUUUGAGGAUCCAUAUUUUGAACUGCAAGCUAAUGUUCAUCAAGAAUCACUGAUGUUCAUAAAAAUCAGAGUAUGGCCGUUGAGUAGAAAAAUUAUUUUUGGACAAAUUAUUUUUGUUGAUAGAAUCUGCCACUUUCUCAUGAAGAAAGGCAUGCGGAGCAUACCAUGGUACCAUACGGAGAAUGUUAGAACCACCCUAGAAUAUCUUUACCCUGAUGUUUCUAACAAAAAUCUGCAUGUGGCAGCAAUUACUAGAUCUACAAUUUCCCAAAUAAUAUUUUGUGUUUCUUAAAAAAAAUUGAAAUACAUAGUUGCAAUUGCACACCGUGAGACAGUGCUACAAUCUACUGAGAUCUAAAUUAUAUGAGACUUUAAGCUACUAAUGUUUGCAUAUUUCUACAUGUCAAAUUAACAUUACCAUCUAUAAUCCGAAACGACAGAUGAUAAACGGCUUUUGGCCACUUAUUACUAGCAUCCACAAUUAAUUUUUGUUCAGCAAUCAGCUUAUUUUAUAGAAAUUGAUUUAGUCAGCAACAAACACUAUAAUACUUGAAAUUAGUUCUUGUUCUUUGUAAUUUUCUAUGAUUUUUCAUAUAUCAAUUAAUCUGCAGUGCCAAGAUGAGGUUUAGUUUUCAAACUAAAUAAUCAAGUAAGCAAAAAUACAAAUUCAGAGAUUAGCGGGGUAAACUAGCUGGGUGGUUUAGAACUGGGCUAGCUACCUCCCUGUAUUCCUAUUUGUAAGGUGAAUUAAUUGAAUCAUGAGAAAACAAUGUGACCAUAGCUCAAUAUGAGAUGAUUUCGGAGAGGCAUAUUGUUUUCGAGUGAAUUUGAUCCAUUAAGAGAUGAAGUGGAUUGAAGUGGAAAGUUUAAAUAACAAAUCCUUGUUCUUGAGUUUUACGACGUCGUUACUCCUUCAGGUGGCAGAUUAUGCAAGUGAAUUCAAAAACACAAUGCAUCAAUCACGGGGACAAAAGACGGGAUCACAGUCUAUGCAUUGAACAGUUACAGUUGCUGCUACCAAUUGUUCGGCAAAGAUCAAGAAGACUGAACGGGAAGCUAAUGCCAUCAAUGUCGUCUUCACUAUAUCUGCUGGGAAUGUAGGUGAACUUUCCUCAUUUGCAGCUGUCUAUACAUAGGCUUUUCCCCAGCUUAAGUACAAAUAAAUGAAGCUGCCUUGAAGGCUUUAUUAUUGACCCCAAUAAGGAUUACUAAUUGAAGAAGACUAUACGGAGUUAAUCUCACAUUUUAGUUCUCUCAAUUUCUUUCAGAAGUGCCUCUGAAAAUAGCUGCCAAACCGUUAGUCAGCUUGUAUACUCUGUUUUCUGGAAACAGAGUAGCAUAUUUAAUCGUUUUAAUUGAAUUGUCUUCGUAGCGAUCAUCAACAAACUCAUCAUAAGAUUUUUGAAGCACCCAAGGACUAUCACUGGGUUUCUCUUCUGGUUGAUUUAUUAAUUAAUCAAAGAACGGUUGGAUGAAGUGCAAUGAUGGAGCAAAAUUUACAAUGUCUCCGGUUUCUCCUGACCAUCGGACUUUUGCAGUGAGAACAUAUAACAAAAAGACCUUCAUCAAAAUUUGUAGACUCCGGGUAUGGAUUGGAUCGAGUUUUUUGUUUGAUAUUGAAGAACCACUUUACUAUCGCGAUAUAGAUUAUGUGCAAGGGGUUGUCUACUGUUCUUUGCCUUGUGCUAUGAUCGGUGCUUUUGACGUUGCCCCGAAACAGUGGAAAAUACUUCGAUUUCCUCCGUUUGAUGAUGCAAAGAACUGGUUAAUGUACGAUUACCUAAUUGACUCAGGAUCAAGUAACAACAACAAUUUAUUAAUAGUAGUAUCACAAACGAAGAAGAUUUCGGAGAGGGUGAUGUAUGCCUAUACCGUUUACAGGUUUGAUCCACAGGGGAUGAAGUGGUCUCAAGUGGAAAGUGAUUUAUUAAACAACAAAUCAUUGUUCUUGGGUCAUACCUCAUGAUGUCAUCAAGUGGAAGAUGAAGAUUAUGCAAGACGAAGAUCGUUUGAUAUUGAAGAAUUUGAACAGAAAGCCCAUAGAAAGUACUUAAAUAAGCAUAUUCUUGUUGGGGUAGAAUAUUAAGAAAGGAGUUGUCUACUGUGUGUUGCGUGAUUAGGCUAUGAUCUGUGCUUUGAACAUUGCCCUCAAAACAGUGGAAAAUACUUCAUAUCCUCGACAUGAUGAUGAAAAAUUGGUUACCGAUUACCUAAUUGACUCAGUGACAACAAUCUAUUAAUAGCACAAUUUGGCGUGAUGCCGUUUAGGUAUAUGGUUUUCAAGUUUGAUUCAUCAGUGAUGAAGUGGACUAAAAUAAGAUGUUUAAAUGAUAAGUCAUUGUUCUUGGGCAUAUCGUCAUUACUACUUCUAGUGAUCAAAGAUGAAGAUGAAGAUGAAGAUGAAGAUGAAAAUUGUGCGAGUUCAAGAUUACCAUCAACUCAAUUUUAUGAUUGGAGUGUCUCACCGUGACUCAGACAAAUUCUGAUUCAACCUCCUUCACCAAUGGAUUUUGAUUAGUUAUUUUGUGAUCAAGCAACUUAAUUAAACUCACAGUUUGUUAGUCUAAUUUUAGUUUUACUGUGACCACUAUUCAAGGUAAGCGAAAGUUACAGAUGUGGCAAAAUCAAUAAUUAAAUUCAUAAAAUGUUAAAAAAUAAAACUUAUAAAUUUUGCAUGACUACUUACUAAUAAAUAAAUAAGUUAGAAUGUAGUUAGUUAAUUUUACACCAUAUUAUAUAUUAUUCGAUAAUAAUAUAAAAUAAAAAGAAUUAAAAAAUAAAUAAUUGAAUAAACAAAUAUGACUUUCUAAACAGUAAAAAUUCUAGAGUUAAAAUUUAUAUUAUUAUUUUAUUUUUUAAAAUUGACAUAUUUCUAUUAUCUUACAUGUACACAGAUUUUGAGAGUUGAGAAGAAUAUAUUUAAUGAAGCUUGCUAACAUUUGGUGGGAUAGCAAGUAAGGGUAAAUAAGAUUUUUUUGUUAUUUAUUUGAAUUAUAUCUAUUUUGUUCAAGUUAAAAUACUAAAUAUAAAUUGGAGGUAGACAUUUUAACAGAUCAUCUAAGCUCUCAAAUCUGAAAUUUUGUGUAGAUUUAAAUUCAUAAUUUUAGUUAAUUUUCAUACAUUCAUAUAAACAAAUUUAUGAGAUUUUUCUUUUCAGCAUGUUAUAUUUUGAAACUUUCAAUGUAUUAUUCUAGCUUUAUUUAAAUAAUUAAUUUAUUUAAAAUUUAUUUAAUUUUGAAUUUGAUCAAUAGUAAAAUUAUUUUUAUAUCAAAUUUUUUUAUUUAAAUAGUUCGUGGAUUGGACAAAAUUAAAAAUUUUUAAUCCACAAAAUGGUGGAUUAGAUAUGAAUUGGGUUAAAUACACAUUCGAUCCGCAGUCGUAUGAAUUUGAUUUGGAUUGAAUUUCAUCAAUCCAUGGAUUAGAUUGGAUUGAAAAAUUUAUUAUCCGCAAAAUCGUGGAUCGAAUAUGGACUGAUGUCCAAUCAGCAAAAUCCAAUCCCCGAACACUCCUCUAUCAAAAUUUUCAAGAAUAUUUUUUAUCUUACAAAUUUUUUUUAAAGUCAUAGUCUAAGGGCGGCCCAAUUUCUACUCCAUCCAUAUAAGCGGAGUUCAAAUCUCAUACCUCUUAUCUCCACACAAGAGAUUUAACCAAUUGAAAUAGCUAGCACCCACAAGUAUACUAGUACAGCAUCUCUUAACGUUUAACAUACGUAAAAUUAACGCCAUAGCUAUUGAUAAACACAUUGUUCAAUAUAUAUGAUCAAGAAUCUGAUCCUGCGAGCAACAGCAGUCAGAAGAACCAUUAUAAUGCCUAGCUCUUAUCCUGGUUAAUCCUCUGGCCCGAUGCUUCAUCAUAGUGAUUUAAAAAACCAACAACAGCUCUCUAAAAGAGAUGAAGAUAUCAUCUACGUAAAGAACAUGAGACGGAGAUUCACAACCCAUAAGAACUGAGAUAAAUUGGACCAGACCAGUAAUCUUGAGAUAAGUUAAACUGUGACUUAAGUUGAAAUCAGAGGACAGGAAUUUUAAAAUCUUUCGGCUAAGCCCCUGAGGAAUUUUCUAGAGUACGACUUCUGCUUACCUCUGUUUAAUUUCUCUUUAUAUUUUUCUUUCAUUUCAUUAAUAAAGUCAAAUAAUAAAUCAAAGAACGAGGGAAGAUUUUUCCAAGUCAUGCAUUAUUUGAUUACCAUCAAUCAAGAAACCGACCAAAUUAAUUUCUCUCCGUGAUUUUUAAAAAUUAAAAAAAAAAUAUUUGAGCAUAACAUCAUUAAUUAUAGAGUGGAUCAAACUGCGUUAAUCAUGAACUUUGUUGUGUUAAUUAUUUCAAUCCCCGAUUACGCAAUUUUUAAAUUAUAGCCUAACGGUGGUCUCAUCACCACGUGUGUGAUUUUCUUUUGCCAAUAGGAUCUGUAGAGAGCUUGAUCUCACCCAAUAGCAAAAUAAACUUCCUAAUAAGUGAAGGCAUAGUAUAAAUAAUUCACCCCCAUAUUAUUUAUUAGCAGCUUGAUUAUUUUAUAUGCAUCUUUGAUUUAAAUUUUUUUUUCCCAUAAUUGCUACUAUGUUCGAACUGGUCAUGAAUUAUCUAUAAGAUUUUUCAUGUUGCUUUUAGGUGCAUUGGAUUUUUUUUAGUUUAGUGCAAGAGUAGAGGAAGGCAAAUUAAGAAAAAGGAUAAAGAUCUAUGAUUAGCUAUUUUGGGAUGUCUCAUAACAUAUUGAUGGUAACAUUAUACAUAUGUAUAUCUAAAUAAUGGGGUUGGAUCAAGAGCCCAUUAAUAAUCAUAGAUUAGCUUAUAUAGCAAUUUCACAAGCACAUGUUAGCCUAUGUUGAGCUUUAUUAUCAAUAGUUCAUAGUUCAUCGGUGCACUGCAGGUUUACUAUUUGAAGUAAAUGUUAUGGUGCGUGCAUUUUUCAUAAGGCCAACCGCUGAAUUUAGCAUUGAAACUUACAAAAUGUAAUAGAGAGAGGUAGAUAACAGCCACAAAACACUAAGAUUGGAAAUCAGGGCUACUAAAUACUAUUACAAGCCCUUAGAAAAGACACUGAUCAUCCUGGAAUAUAUAUACUGAAAGUAAGAAAUAUUAAUCGCAAAGUUAUGUGCCAACAAAACUAUUGACCACUUGUCCCUAGCAGAAGGUAUAUAUUUUUAACUUCAGCUCUCUACUUUGUUCUAAGAACUAGGCAAAAGAAUGAAACUUCACUGUCUAAAGUUUGCCGCUUGGAAUAUUUCACUGUCUAAACAUUCACUCACCACUAAUUUCACAAAUGAAUUUUGUCUAACUAUAUGUUGAUAACGAUAUUAGAGGUAAUAUAAUGCAUUUAAGGCUUAACAUAUAUUUUUUAUUAGUAGAGUGUAGAAUUUUUAAGAAAUAAAUUAUUAAAUUACUAUAACUAACAUAUUAUUUUAAAGUUAUGUUAAGAAAAGAAUGAAACAAAAAAAAAAAAAAAAAUAAGGGUAUUCUAAAACUUUGAUCCUUUUAAAAGUAGUUUUUGACGUAAAUAAAAUAAUUUUUAUUUUUUUAAAUCACAUACUCUAGUUAAAAUCAAAUUUGUAUUUAUAAAGCUUGUAAAUUUUUUUUAGCAUUAAUAUUUGAAUACUUUCAAGAUAAGAAAUAGGGUACUAAUUAUGCUACAACAUUAUUAUAGCAUAUAAAAAGACAAUACCCUUUAUAUUAUUAUACUAUCGUUUUUGUUAUGAUAGUAUUUUGUUAGUGGUCAAAUAUUACUUUUUUAAGUAAAAAAGUAGACAAAUGUAAAUCAAUUUUUAAUCUCUCCUAAAAUUCUAAUUCCUAGUUACCAAACAAAAUUGUUUGAAAAUAAUUUGGCUAAGUGCAUGGGUUCUUAAAAGUUAAAACUAUAGGUGAUAGAAGUUACUAGCACAAGCAAUUUUGACGGUCCAUUUUAUAAAAAUUUUUAAUAAUUUUUUAUUUACCAUUUUACCACCUAUAUAAAGAGUGCCACAUCGACAUAUCAAUUCAUUUGCAAAUUAUAUUAAUUUUGUAAAAUUCAUUUGACUUGCUAAACCCUUCUUAUCCCCUUUCUCGACUGUCAUACCCUAACCUUAUUAAUCCAACUGGCAAGUGCUCACAAUGACCGACAGCCUCUCCAUCUCCAUUUCAAGCUUCCUCUUCAACUGGCUUCUGCUUCCGUCGUACGCUUCCUUGGAUUCGGAGUCCGUAUUCGCUCGACCGGUCCGGCACAGCUCCCUCUCACUCCAAUUGUCACCCAACAAGACCAAUUGCUUAACAUUGAUCGUAUGGCAAUUGUCCGUAUUUCUUGGAUUCAGAGUCCGUAUGGCACAGAACAAGAAGAGUAUGAGAGAGAGAUUUGGAAAUCGAAACGUACGCAUUGACCGUGCCUUUGAGGGCAAUUACUUUUCUUGAGAAUUGAAGUUUGGUAAUGUAAUUUGUUCUCUAUCUGUGUCCCCUUUGUAGUCAUUUCAUUUAUUUGUUUGUUUGCUUUUAUUUGCACUUACGAAGUCUCAGAUAUAUCUACGCAAGAAUGAUGCAGGAGAAAUUGAUCCUCGAGCUUACAAGAAAAGUAAAUUUCGAAAGCAUAAUUUGGCUCCGAUUGAGGUAAUAAUUGUCUUUAAACUCAUUUAGUUUUAUAUCAAACAAAAUCAAGGCUGCCUUUCUCUUCAAUAUUUUUUAUGAUAAUAUCUUUAGAAGCAUCUCAUUGACGGGUAAUCAUGGUAUCCCUUAAAGAGUCUAUAAACUCAAUGAUAUUUUCUUCUGCAAAUGGUUCAUUAAACUUCUUAGACGUAGUUAAAUGUACACUAAGAACAACGAGAAGCUAUGCCGCUGUAGCAUGUAGUGAGAUCUUGUUUGAAGUUGUUUUCUGAAAUGAACUGCCAAAUGGUAGUUUUUUUUUUCUUGGGUGCAUUUGAUGACUCUUUUCUCCUCAUUUUAAACAUGUACCUGCUUGGAAUGGGAAGGAAUAGGCUUCCGAGUUGUUAUAUAUGUUGACAUGCUCUGGUCAUUACACAAAAUGCUCAAAUUGGAAAUUAGAAUGAGAUAUUUGUCGAUGCUUUUUGAGAGAUCUGCAUUCUAUGCACCAUAACAUGAUUAAUGAAAACAGGUUUAAGGACUGGAAAGAUCUGUGGCGGCCCAAGCUUGCAGGAAGGAUUUCAAUGGUUAAUUCUCCCAGAGAGGUUAUUGGUACAAUUUUGAAGUAUCUGGGAGCAUCAUGCAAUUCAAACGACAUUGAUUAGCAACUUGCUGCUGGGAGGAUUGUUGUCAGCAGAAUCUGGCAUUACUGGGAAACCAGGUACUCUUAAAGAAAUGAUAUCUGGUCAAUGCAUAUUAUUGCCUGACAGCUGAUUUUGUUUGUAAAGUCUGCCUCUUCAUACAUAUGAAUGCAUAUGUUAGUGUUUUCUUCUCCUUUUAAUACACAUGAAUGCAUAUGUUAGUGUUGUCUUCUCCAUUCCAUAAAUAUGAAUGCAUAUGCUCUGGGUGUUGGUUACUACUUCAAGUGGAAGGUGAAGGUGAUGCAAGUGAUUUCAGGAGUACAUAUAUUCCAAGGAUGCCGGACUAUUAUUGCUUCCCCCCAUAUUUCAGAAUUUUUUGUCAACCUCCUCCACUAAGGGAUUCCAAUUGAGUUACAAAUAUAUUUUCUGUAGCUCUGUUUUAAAUUUUUGGUCUCAUGUUAAUUUUUCUAAUUACUAUUCUUCAACAAAUCUCUUUUACUUUAAAAAACUGCUACAGUUUGAUUUUACUGCCUUAUAUCAUUGAACAUUGAUACAUGGAAUUUGAAAUCAGACUUGUAACAACAGAUAAAUAGAUAUAGAACAUGCAUAUAAUCUCCAUUUCGAGCUCCCUCUCCAACUGGCUUCUGCUUCCGUCUUACUCUUUCUCGGAUUCGGAGUCCGUAUUUGCUCAGCCGGUCCUGCCCAGCUCCCUUUCACUCCAAUUGUCACCCAACAAGACCAAUUGCUUAAUCAAGGCACAGAACAAGAAGAGGAUGAGAAGUUGAAACAAGAAUUUGAGAAUUGGAAAUCGAAAAUGUAUGCAUUGACUGUGCCUCUAAGGGUUGUUUCUCUUCAGAAUUCAAUGCCUCAAUCUUGGGUUAAGGAUUUUAUGCGAAGUCAAGGAAAGAGAUUGAAGUUUCAGAUGAAUUUGUGUGCUAGCAUUGGUGGGAUCUUUAACAAUUUAUCUGUGCCCUUUAACAAAGUUAAGGGUAAGUCAGCUUCGUAUACGGCUGCUGAUUUGGUUAGUGUUGGUGAUUCAUGGCUCAGUUUUACAAUUAAAAAGAGAUUGAUUGAGCCAAUAGCUGAAGCUGAAGAUCAAGACUGGUUCAAAUGCUUAUGUCACAAAUGGAAGGUAACAUCAUUAUCUUUGACCCGAUAAUUUUUAUUGUCUUACAUUGAAAUUUGGUAAUGUAAUUUGUUCUCUAUUUGUGUUACCCUUUGUAGUCGUUUUAUUUAUUUGUUUAUUUGCUUUUAUUUGCACUAACGAAAUCUCAGGUAUAUCUAUGCAGGAAUGAUGCAGGAGAAAUUGAUCCUCGAGGUAAAAUAUGGGCGGCACCAUACAGGUGGGGCACAACGGUGAUAGCCUACAAGAAAAGUAAAUUUCGAAAGCAUAAUUUGGCUCCGAUUGAGGUAAUAAUUGUCUUUAAACUCAUUUAGUUUUAUAUCAAACAAAAUCAAGACUGCCUUUCUCUUCAAUAUUUUUGAUGAUAAUAUCUUUAGAAGCAUCUCAUUGACGGGUAACAAUGGUAUCCCUGAAAGUGUCUUUAAACUCAAUGAUAUUAUCUUCUACAAAUGGUUCAUUAAACUUUGUUGUUGUAGUCAAAUGUACACUCAGAGCAAUGAGAAGCUAUGGCACUGUAGCAUGUAGUGAUGGCACUUAAUAAGUGAGUUGCUAGGAUGUGAACUAGAAAAAUUAAAUAUUGUCUCCUUGGGUAUGCUAGCUUGUAAGUCAGGGUUAAUAUUAGAGCUUAAGUUACUAUAACCAUGAGACGCUAUUGACUGCCAAUUAAAAUAUCCAUUAAAUUGUCUAGGAAGUUAUGAAAGUGGAGGUAUCUUCCGAUUUCUAAGGCCAGAUAGUAGACAUCAUCCAGGAUCCUAGGAAAGUGCAGUUAACCUCCUGCUCGAUGCAAUUAAUAAAUUUGGUCAAUGCCACUGAAACCUGCUAACCGACGUCACAAUGCGAGAUGAGCACUUCAAAAUGGGACAGACGGUCAGUAGCACUAAAUUUUUCUUUCCUAAGAUUGAGCAAUUGGUCUAACUACUAACCCCUAUUGUAGGUUGAUCAUUAUUUUUCCAAUUAUGUUCAGUUUGACCCAAAAAGUUACAGAAUCUUGAGCUGAAUAUUGUCACUGAACACUGUCAAUGUCAUUUAGCAUACCCAACUAACUUGAGUUUGGUAAAACAAACACACUGUGCGUCUCAUCUCUCACAAUUCAAAUUAUCAUCUGUAAUGAUGGAGAAUUUUUCCAAUGUAUGAAGUAUGCUUUGAUAUGUGUACCUUGGAGAAGAUAUCUCCAAAUAAAGAAUAUGGAGAGAAAACGGUUCAGUAGUUUAUUAUUCUGUAGGCAAGUCUUGUCUCGAAAAUGGUCAAAAUUUAAAUGAAUAAGGACAGGGGAUCUUCAUUCUUUUUUCCCUUUUUUAUACCAAGAUAUCUCUCAACCUUUAUAUAAUCCCCACUGGAUAUCUGCUUCUAAUAAUUAAAAUAAAAAUUUCACUCACACAAAUAAAUACUGACCAAGCUCUAACAAUAUAAAGUAACAUCUUUACUCAAGUAAUUUACAGUUCCUCAUCAUCUUAGUGUGAGACUAUCAUUACGUUCCAAAAACAAAAUAAAACUGGUUUGAUCCUGUUUAUUGAUGUUUAAAUGUUGUUCAUUGUGACAUGUAGAAAUGAUGAAGCGAAGUUUAUUUGGUCAUCAAUUAGUAAGAUCUUGUUUGAAGUUGUUUUCUGAAAUGAACUGCCUUUUUUUUGGGCAUAUGAUGGCUCUUUUUUCCUCAUUUUCAACAUGUGCCUGCUUGGAAUGGGAUGGAUUUGGCUGCAGAGUUGUUAUAUAUUUUGAGAUGCUCUGGCUGUUGUGAAAAUUUUAAUAUACUCGCAAGCACACGAAUCUAGAAAUAGAAUAGUGAUAACGAGGUCGAACCCACAGGGAUUAUUGAAAAGUCUAAUUUAAAUCUAAAAUUAAUAUUAAUUCUAACCUAGUUGAGCAAAUUGAGUUUUAAGAGAAAUUAAACUAAUUAAACUAAGAAAAUAAUUAAAGUAAAGGAGAAUUCAAUAAGACAAAAAUUACCAAGGUUUCAGAAUCCACCACUAUUCAACUAGUAAUUAUCUAAUUAUUAAUUAAUCCCCAAUUUUAGAGUGACAACUCGAAAUCAAUCUAUGUCAUCUCAUGGAUAUAACAAUUAAGCCCAAGUAAUUAAAUCUAAUGUAGGUUCUUUUUCUACUUAAUAGUAUGAUAUCUAAGAAUCUCAUGUAAACAUAUUGAAUAACAAAGAGUCAAAGUUUUCUUAAGCACUCUAUGUAAACAAUUUAAUGAAAGACAUAAAAUCAAAGAUAAUCAUGCAUAAACUUUAUAGAUCCAAGCAUAGAUUUAAUCGAAUAUUAAUCCUAACAAUCAAUAAUGCAUAACAGAAUUGAUGAAAAGAUUUUAAUAACAUCCAACUAAUCAUGUGAAAUAAAAACCAUAAUCAUUAAAGAACAUAUAUAGGGAAUUAAAUAAAUAAAAAAAUAAUUAUUUCAUUGAAUAGGGUUUCAUCCUUAACCUCAGUAUAAGAAAAUUAGUUAGACAUACUUGAAUUGGGAAAAACAAAAGAGAUAAAACCGGCCAUGAGGAAUAUUGAACUGUUGGUGCCGAUUGCUCUUUUCCAGCCUUGCGUCUGCUUUCCUCUGGCGGCUACCUCCCCCCUUGCAAAAGCCAAAGUUCGGCUUUUAUAUUGUAACUCCCCCACAAAAUCCUCAAAUCAAAAGGUUUUAAAACAAGCCAAGCACAACCGACUUUGAGCCCAUGCAUGUGAAGCCCAAUUGGAAUUUUCAUUCCUUUUUUAAUGCCAUGCAAUUGCUUUCCCACGUGCUGGCCACUUUAGCUUUAAAUUUCUUCUUUGUUUGCACUAGCAUGGAGAAUUCAAUUUAUUGGCUUCGGCUUCUUCGGAUUGAAUUUCAUACACAUCUACUUAAUUGCUUCCACAAAUUGACUUGAUUUUUAAUGUUGUCCAAUUGUUAUUCUUUAUGUACUUUUCAUCCUUAAUCUCCAAUUAAUUCCCUAUUCAAUAAAAUUAACUUAGCAAUUAUAUAAUAAAGGGUAAAAUAUGUAUAUAAAUUAUGCUCAUCACUGGCCAUUGCACAAUUUGUUCACACUGGAAAUUUGAAUGAGAAAUUUGUUGAUGCUGUUUUGAGAGAUCUGCAUUCUAUGCACAAUAACAUGAUUAAUGAAAAUGGAUUGUAGGACUGGAAAGAUCUGUGGCAGCCUGAGCUCGCAGGAAGAAUUUCAAUGGUUAAUUCUCCCCGAGAGGUUAUUGGUUCAGUUUUGAAGUAUAUGGGAGCAUCAUACAAUUCAAACGAUAUUGAUUCGCAAGUUGCAGGUGGGAAGAUUGCUGUUCAGCAGAAUCUGGCAUUACUGGCAAACCAGGUACUCUUAAAGAAAUGAUAUCUGAUCAUUGCAUGUUAUUGCCUGACAACUGAUUUUGUUUGUAAAAGUCUGCUUCUUCAUACAUAUGAAUGCAUAUGUUAGUGUUCUCUUCUCCUUUUCAUACAUAUGAAUGCAUAUGUUGGUGUUGUCUUUUCCUUUUCAUACAUAUUAAUACAUAUAUUGGUGCUCUCUCCUGAGAUGGAUGCAAUAAAGGCUUUUGGUCCUAAAUUUAGGUGAAGAAAUGGCAAGGGAUGUGAGAUUCUGUCUCAUUAAAUUAACAAAAACCCAAAACAAUGAAAACCCAUAAUAAUGUGGUGGGGGUAAAUUGGCACCAUUUGGUUUGUUUACUUAAUGUGAAUACACGAGCAAUAGGGACUAACAAAAUGAAGUGACAACAACAAGUCAGUGUCCUUUGAUGGAUGCAUUUUAGGCAAAAAUAGGUUUGUAAUUGACCAAUUUCAAAAAAUUUAAAUUAUGUGGUUAUUAGCUGUAAUGAAGGGGAUAGGAGGUGCAAUCAGGUGGAUCCAGGAAAGUUCAACAAAGUUCUGGUAUGGCAUAGUGAAAUUGGUUUGUGCAACUCAAGAGUCUUUCAGGUGAACGAUGAUAUGUUUUGAUUUAUAAAUGUUAUAAAUCUACCGUCCAUAGUAUUCUAGUAGAAUCAUCUAUAAGUUCUAGUUAUUGAAAUUGUCUACUUUGUCCAGUUUGAGUUAAGGGCACAUGUAAUAGGAAAAAUAGUUGUCACAUCUUUUUGGUUACCUAACAUUUGAUCAAUCCUAUUAUGAGGGCUUCAAGAUGUCUAACAAUAUGUAGAAUGCCCAUGCUCCUCCCCAUUGUUUAUCUUAUACAAUAAUUUGUUUUAGAUGCUAAUAUAUUUGUCGAUACCGGUAACGAUAUUACAAUAUCUGCAUUUAUUGGGUUUUACAUAGGUUCGACUGUUUGACAGUACACACUAUCUGAAGGCAUUUGGAAUUGGAGAUGUAUGGGUUGCUGUUGGGUGGAGUAGUGAUGUUCUUCCUGCUGUCAAACGUAUGUCUAAUGUUGCAGUUGUUCCCAAGUCUGGUGCUAGCUUAUGGGCCGAUCUUUGGGUAUACCCAUGCCGGCCAUUCUACUUCGAUAUUCACGUUGUUAUCUCCUUCAUAUUAGCGAUCAUAAACUUGAUAAUGUGACUAAUAAGUUCGUAUUCUCUUUAUAGGCAAUCCCUGCUGCCUCAAGACUUGAAACAAAAGAAAUUGGAGGGCGAGUCUGAGGUCCAUCUCCAUUAAUCCAUCAAUGGAUAGAAUCCUGCUUGCAAACAGCGAGAACAUUGCCUUUCAAGCAAGAGGUUAUCCCGGGCGCAUCUCCCUCUGCCCUUGAAAGUACUCUGGUUAAGUUGCCUGAAGAACUUCUGAAGGGUAAACCAAGUCUGGAUACUAACUUAAUUGCUGGAGUACCCCCGGCUGAAAUUCUGGCCAGAUGUGAGUUUUUGGAGCCAUUGUCUGAAGCUACAUUGUCAUAUUAUGAGUGGCUGGUUGCUAAUCUGCAAAAACCUGCCCCCCUCUUGAUGAAUAGGCUGCAACAUUACUUGUCAUCAUUAAUCCAAAGCUUUCUAGCAAAAGCUACAUUGAAAAGUUAAUGGCACUGCAUGCCAGUCAUUGUAAUGCUGUCAGGGCUAUUGGGUCAGGGCUAUUGGGUCAGAGCAUAACUUCAUUAGGAAAAGAGGCUUCAGCUACGUUAAAUAUUACAGGAUGUACUGAGAUGGCUGAAGUUCUUGAGGUUUUACGAGAAACGAAAGAUGAGUGUUUGUUUGAACAAAGUUGUUGCCAUCUUGCAGAGUUUGAGAAGAAAGAUCACUGAGCGAAUGCCACCGAUUUCUUAAUCAUUGUAGCCUCCAUAGUUGAAGUUUCCUUAUUUGAAGCUGUUUAUGCGUACGCUUUUUCCCUGCUCAAGUACAGGAAAUUGAAGAAUUAACCAGAUGUGAUAUGCUGAAAGAGGGAAGUUUUCUUCCUUGAACGUGGCCUUGUGAUUUGUCUUGGAAGGAAUAGGAUGAUCACUGGCAAGAACCCUAUCAAGGUAGAUUUUAUGGUGCUAACGUAUUAUUAAGCAUUUUGUUACAUCAGCAAUGAUGCUUUCAUAGCAUGAAAGGGUUUAAAUUUAACUGAAUGAUUCUGAUUAAUCAAUUAUGAGUUUGAAUCGAGUAAAAACUAAAUACAAUCAUCGUUAACAAUACUGAAAAAAUUUAACUGAAUCAUCGUUAAUUGAGUAAAUAGGAUCUUGAUAUUGAAGAAUUUGAAAUCACAACGCACACAGGAAAUUGAAGAAUUUGAAAUACAAUCAUCGUUAACAAUAUAAGAUGAGUGUUUGUUUGAACAAAGUUGUUGCCAAUCUUGCCGAGUUCGAAAAAAAAGAUCACGGAGCAAAUGCCACUGAUUUCUUCAUCAUUGUAGCCUCCAUAGUUGAAGUUUCCUCAUGUGAAGCUGUACAUCAAGUACAGGAAAUUGAAGAAUUAACCAGAUGUGAUAUGCUGAAAGAGGGAAGUUUUCUCCCUUGAAUGUGGCCUUUGUGAUUUGUCUUGAAGGAAUAGGAUGAUCACCGGCAAGAACCCUAUCAAGGUAGAUUUUAUGAUGUUAACAUAUUAUUAAGCAUUUUGUUACAUCAGCAAUGAUGCUUUCAUAGCAUGAAAGUGUUUAAAUUUAACUGAAUGAUCUUGAUUAAUCAAUAAUGAGUUUUAAUCGAGUAAAAACUAAAUACAAUAAUUGUUAACAAAUACUGAAAUUGGGUAAAUAUGAUCUUGCUAUUGAAGAAUUUGAAAUCACAACCCACACAGGAAAUCACCCUUCGCGUGGAGAUGGAGAUGUUUACUGCAGCGAUAUUGAAUAUGUCCACUGCUCUUUGGGUUAUGGUGCGACUUGCGAUUUCAAGGUUGCCCUGAAACAAUGGAAAAGAAUUAACAUACCCUGCAAUGAAUGAAAGCGGCUGGACUAAUUCUGAUUACCUGAUUGACUCAGGAUCGGAUGGCAAUAAAGACAGUUUAUUAACAAUGCACAGUCCCGAGUACUUUUUCAGGAUCAGAUAUUACGUGGUCUAAUGUUGAUAAUAAUAGAUUAUCAAAUGAGAGAUGCUGAGAGAUGCUGGUCUAGUAUUGCAAGCCCCCAGAUUUAAGAAUCUUUUGAUGAUAAUUUACCACCUGUAACUGUGCCGGAAGAUUCACCUAGCAUUGAAAAAGAUGAUAAUUUAAUUGAUAUGGAUAGUUUUCAUAACACUUUUAAAUCAUCUUAUGUAAUUAUAAUGUUGAGAAGCAUUAGUGGUCUAUAUGUGAACUAUUAUUGACGCUAUUUUGUUGUAAACAAUCUUAUUCAAUUAAUGUAUAAUUUAAAAUCAUUAUGUAAAUCAAUCUAUUACUUUUCAUGAUAUUUAACUGAGUUAAAACUAAGUGCACCCAAUAAAUCUCUUUUCCUUUAAAAAACUGUUACGCUUUGAUUUUAGUGCUUAAUAUUUACGGAACUCCGGUACAGGGAAUUCGAAAUCAAACUCGUAACUACAGAUUAUCUAAUUGCAAGCUUUUGUCCAUAGUUGCUGAUUGUAGUGAUUAUCUAAUUGACUGAGGUGACAACAAUUUUUUUUUUUAAUUUUCAAUAGCAUAAUGUGGAAUUCAAUAAUUAAAUUCUCCUUUUUAAUUUGUUUCCAGUUAAAUUAUUAAUUACUUAAACUCUGUUUUAAGUCUUUAAUUUUAUGUCUUGGCGUAUAUGCAGGGUUGGAUUCUUGAGCGUGUUGGACACGACCAACAAUGAAAUUGACAGUAAACAAACAUUAUAACGCGUUGAGUGUCGACUCCGCUAGCUGCCCUACAAGUCUACAACUUUACAAACAAUAACUGAGUACACACAUUUGAUUCUCAGGGCCUUUCAAUGAAUUUCUAGGCCGGUUGACUCCACCGACAAAAGUUUUGGAAAAUAAAAAAGAAAAUUCAUAGAAUUCCACCAAAUGCAAAACGCGUGGAAUUUAAUUUUCGGCUGUGUGGACCAAAACAUAAUUUAAUGAAAAAAAAGAUAAGAUUUCUAGAAUGUGUGGAAGGUGAUCCAUAUUUUACUGAAACAACUUAUUAAAUUUUUCAAGGAUUUAGAAUAUUUGGUCAUAAAUUACGCUCAUGUUAAUUUUUCCACUGUUGACUAUCAUAUUCUAGACUCACUGGUACCUUUCUUGAUGAAGGGUACUUAGUCUCUCUUCUCCUCUUAUAAAAAUUAUAUUAAUUAAUUUCUUAUUAUAAUAAAUAGUCUUUAAGAACGUAUAGAUUUAUUGUUUUCGUGACCAAAUUAUGCCAGCUUAAGGUUGCGACUAUUAAUAAAAUUAAUAUUUAAUGUUUAUGUUAAAAGAUAUAAGAUUUUUUGCAUUCAUUAAUUGUCAUUAGCUAAAGGAUUAAUUAUUUUUUCAACCCAAUCAGUUGAUGCAUCUGCAAGAAUUUUUUCUUUUAUUGACCAUAAUUAUAUUCCGGGUACAAUAAAUUAUCUUUGGUGCUUGGAAAAUAUGACUUCUUACUUCAAGUUUGAUGUGUCUCUCUCCAUAAGCUUACUGGAAAUAUAUCCUCAUCUACUGUCAUUUAUCUAAUAUCAAUUGAAUAUCUGACUUUUUCAAACUAUCACUUCCAAGUCUCAUUGUCACUUGGCCAUUCUUGGACCAUUCAAAACCAAACAAGUGUUGAAAUAAUCAAAUAUAUGCAAAAUUAGAGUCACGACUUUUGGUCCUCCAAAUUCUAAUUAUAUUACUUCUAUAUAUCUCAUUGUCAGGUCACGAACUUGUUGGCACAUUUUCCAAAUUCCUCUUCCAUCAGCUCUUACACGUUAACUUAAGUGGAAAGUUUCCAAGUUGAUUGCUAGAAAGCAACGCAAAAUCAGACACGCUUGAUCUGUCCCCUAAUUCUCUUUUCUACGUUGAAAAAGAAAAAAAAUAAGAAAAAAGAAAAUAGAUCUAUGUAAAAAUAAAUAAUAAACUGAGUAAAAGUACAUUUGUUUAUUUAACAUCUGAUCGGGGCAUUUUUGGUGUAAUUUCGUGCUGUGUUUAACCCACAACUAAAAUCAAACAGCCCCUUAGAAUACUUCUUCCAUUUUGGGUGCGUUUGGGAUUGAGGUUGGGCAGCUGUAACUUAAAAACUACAGCACUAAAGUGUUUGAUAAACACUAACUGCUGUAGCUUUUAAGCUAUGUUGAUAUGGUUUUUCACUUGUAUAAUACAAAAUUUAUUAUAUCUUUAAUAAUUUUAUCAAAAUUAUUAUUUAAAAUUUAUAUUUACUAUAUAUUAUUAACUUUUGUUUCAUAAUUACAGCUUUUUUUUCACAGCAACUGUAGCUUAAAAGCUACAGCAUCUCAAUCCCAAACGCACCCUUUAUCUGCUACUUUUGUGGAUCUUAUAGGGUGGGCAUGUGAACAGAAUUUAAAAAUUUUAAUAGUCUCAAAGAAUAAGAUAUGCUAAAGCUAAAGUUGUUGCACCUUCUAAUUAAAUAAAGUUGUAUAAUUUCACCAACUUGGAAGAAUUGAUAUUAAUGGACGGUCCCCUCUCCAUAUAUGAAGCCUUCUUAAAAGUUAAUUUUUAUUUCAGAAAAAAAAAGUUUAAGUUACAUAUAUUAUAGUAAGAUUUUUUUAGACCAAUUCCCUUCUUGAAAUAAUAAUGGAAAAGCAUUAAUUUAAAAAUAAAAUGAAUAUGUAUUGAUUAUAUCCUGAUUUUCAUCGAUUAUAGUGAGAGUUUCUCCAAAUCAAUUCCCUUAUUCAAAUAAUACAGAAAAAAUAGUAAUUUAAUAGUAAAAUAAACAAGUGUUGAUUAUAUAUUCUAAGUUUCAUCGAUUAUGUGAUCAAAGUGGCAUUGUUGAUUUAUUUCUUGUUCAAUGUUAAUUUUUAGGUUAUAUAAAUUUCAAGGAUCUAAAAUCUUUGGUCAUGGAUUACACGCUUGUUAAUUUUUCUGCCAUUAACUGUCAUAUUCUAGACUUAAUGAUACCUUUCUUGAUCAAGCGUAAUUAUUCUCUCUUCUCCUCUUAUAAAUUCCUCUUCCAUUAACAUCACUAGGAGUAUGUUGAUCUCUCAGACGUUAACUUGAGUGGAGAGUUUCCAAAUUGAUUGUUACAAAACAACACAAAAACUAGACACACUUGAUCUGUCUAAUAAUUCUCUUUCGGUAAAAUUAAUUAAUUUUAGGGAAAUAUUCUGCCAACCUCUGUAAUUUCAAAGUGAUCAUUAAUUAAUUAAACGAUACAAAUAUCUAAAGUGAUUAGAUGUUUGCCGACAAUACAAGUUCAUGACUUGAAAUUUGAUCUCUAUCGAUUGGUUUACAAAUGGACGUACUUGUGCCUUUGUGGCGAUAAUCAAACAAGUUCCCAUGAUUAUUAUUUUUUCCAAAAACGUUUUUACAACAAAUUCAUCUCGCCAAAAAUUCUAUGUUGCUAACUAACAAUAAUUGAGCACUUGGCCGCAUUGACCCCACGUCUCCACCUCUUUCUAAAAACAUGGAAAAUGUAAUUUCCACAAAAUGCCAAACGUGUGGAAUUUAAUUUUUUUGCCUUGUGGAUCAAAAUACAAAUGAAAGAAACAGGAGAAAAAAAAGGCCCAAAGACUUCUAAAAGAUGAAGAAGUCUUUGGGCCUUUUUAUAAUGGUGAAUUUUUUAAAAGAAAAAAAAUAACAACAUUUUUAUGGUUUGUUUUGAUAAUCAUAUUUACAUAUACUCUCUAAUUUUCAAAAUGGACACAUAAAUCUUUUUUUUUACAAAAUAUAUAUUAUUCAUAUUUUUUAUUUUUUAUUAUCAUAUUUUUAUUUAUUAUAAAUGUUUAGAGUAAAUUUUUAGGUUGAAAUAUAAUAAAAAUGUAUAAUCGUUCUCUUAUUAAACACACAUACUUUUAUUAGUUUCUAUGCAUUUGUCAUCUCAAUCUCUCUCAAUUAUUCUUUAUUGCUAGCUCAAAACGCGUUGCUGUUGCAAAUUAUAGCAAAAUGACAAAUAUGGAAAAAAAGGGAAGAAAAUUAAUGCAUGAAAGACUUGGAGAAAACAACAAAAUAAGCCAACUAUGAGCUAGUUGGGUGUAUAAAUUGUUAGAUGUGUUAUAUACAAAUAGCAUAGAGCCCUCUAGUUAGUUCCAGAGACAGAAAGAGCGUGUGUGUUUUUUCACAGUUAGAGAUAUAGUUAGAAUGGGUGGUUCAAAAUCAAAAAUGAUGAUAAUGUUUAUUAUGUUAUUAAUAAUAUUUAAAAGUGGGUGGAGUGAGGGAUGUUUGGAUCACGAGAGAUUUGCUCUUUUGCGACUCAAACAUUUCUUCGAUGAUAGUUAUCUUUAUGACUGGGCCGAUGAUGAGGGAGCUACUGAUUGUUGUCAGUGGGAAAAUGUUGAGUGCAGCAACACCACAGGCCGAGUGAUAGCGCUAGACCUUUUUGACACGCAUGGGGGAGAGCACAGCUGGUAUAUGAAUGCUUCUUUGUUUACUCCCUUCCAACAACUUGAGUCACUUGAUUUAACUGACAACAAUAUAGCCGGUUGUGUUGAGAAUGAAGGUGCUUCGUUUAAUUUAAUUAAUUUACUUUCUCCCCCCAAAUUUAAGUUGAAUAUCAAGACCGAGCAAUUAUAUGCAUAUUCAUUUAGUCGACAAUUUUGACUUUUUUUUAAAUGAUUAAUUUUGAAAUUACACCAGUAUCUAUGAUCUUUUUUUAUUUUAUUUUAUUUGCAGGUAUAGAGAGGCUAUCAAGAUUGAACAACUUGAAGAUGCUUAAUUUAAGUCGAAACUCAUUCAAUAAUAGCAUUUUAUCAUCUCUAACUCAUCUUUCAUCAUUAAGAUCAUUAAAUUUACUUUGGAAUAGAUUGGAAGGAAGUAUUGACGUUAAAGGUACAUAAUUAAAACUUCAAGCUCUUUCAUUAACUUGCUAAAAUAAGAUUCAAGGCUUUGAAAGAAAAAGAGAGAAAAAAACAAGGCCCAAAGACUUCUAAAAGAUGUAAAAGUCUUUGGGCUUUUUUAUAAUGGUGGAUUUUUUAAAAGGAAAAAAUAACAACGCUUCUAUGGUUUGUUUUGAUAAUCACAUUUACAUAUACUCUCUAAAUUUCAAAAUGGACACAUAAAUCUUUUUUUUUUCUACAAAUGUAUAUUGUAUUUUUUAUUAUUUUUAAUAUCAUAUUGUUAUUUAUUAUAAAUAUUUAAAGUAAAUUUUUAAGUUGAAAUAUAAUAAAAGAGUAUAAUCGUUCUCUUCUUAAACACUCAUACUUUUAGUUUCUAUCCAUUUGUCAUCUCAAUCUCUCUCAAUUAUUCAUUAUUGCUAGCUCAAAACGCGUUGCUGUGGAAAAUUAUAGCAAAAAGACAAAUAUGGAAAAGAAAAAAGGGAAGAAAAUUAAUGCAUGAAAGACUUGGAGAAAACAACGAAGUAAGUCAACUAUAAUCUAGCUGGGUGUAUAAAUUGUUUGAUGCUUUAUAAGCAAAUAACAUACAGAGACAGACAAUGUGUGUUCGUUUUUUCAUAGUUAAAGAUAUAGUUAGAAUGGGUGGUUCAAAAUCAAAAAUGGUGAUAAUGUUUGUUAUGUUAUUAAUAAUAUUUAAAAGUGGGUGGAGUGAGGGAUGUUUGGAUCACGAGAGAUUUGCUCUUUUACGACUCAAACAUUUCUUCAAUGAUCCUCUUAAUUCUCUUUACGACUGGGUAGAUGGUGAGGGAGCUACUGAUUGUUGUCAGUGGGAAAGGGUUGAGUGCAGCAACACCACAGGCCAAGUGAUAGCGUUGCACCUUUCUAAUAUAUAUUUGGGAGAGUACAGCUGGUAUCUGAAUGCUUCUUUGUUUACUCCCUUCCAACAACUUGAGUCACUUGAUUUAAGUUUCAACAAAAUAGCCGGUUGUGAUGAGAAUGAAGGUGCUUCGUUUAAUUUAAUUAAUUUACUUUCUCUCUCCUAAUUUAAGUGGUAUAUUAAAAUUGAGCAACUAUAUGCAUAUACAUUAGUUGACAAUUUUGACAUAUUUUUUGAAGUGAUUAAUUAAUUUUGAAAUUACACCAAAUAUCUAUGAUCAUUUUUUUUUAUUUUACUUGAAGGUAUAAAGAGGUUAUCAAGAUUGAACAACUUGAAGAUGCUUAAUUUAAGUGCUAACUCGUUCAACAAUAGCAUUUUAUCAUCUCUAACUCAUCUUUCAUCAAUAAGAUCAUUAAAUUUAUAUGUGAAUGAAUUGGAAGGAAGUAUUGAUGCUAAAGGUACAUAUUUAAAACUUCUCUCUUCCCCAAGCUCUUUCAUUAACUUGCUAAAAUAAGAUUCAAGGCUUUGAAUUCAAUUUUUUUAUGAUUAAUAUUUAAAAAAAACAGUUUUAAGCAAUUUAUAAAUACAAGUUUUAAUGUUUCUUAUAAUUUCAUCUUGUACUUUCAUAUGUCUUGAAUUUAAGAUUAAAAAAAAAACUCUAAUAGCAAACCAAACACCUCCACAACUUAUUAUUAUUAUUAUUAUUAUUAUUAUUAUUAUUAUAUAUUUUUUAAUUUGUGGUGAGGUUUGAAACAUUCAACUCAAUUUGUACUUGUUACAGAAUUUGAUUCUUUGAGAGAUUUAGAGGAGCUAGACAUUGGCGGGAACAAGAUUGACAAAUUUGUGGUCUCAAAAGGUACUACAAAUACCAUAAAAAAAAUAUGCUAACUUUUACAAAUUAGUUAGAUUCUUUGCCAUUUGGUUUAUUAUUUUACAGGUUUGAGUAAGUUGAAGUCUCUUGGUUUAAGUGGUAUCAAACUCAAUCGUAGCAUCUUAUCUUCUCUUUCUUCGUUAAGAGAAUUAGAUAUAAGUCGUACGGGAUUCAAAGGAACAUUUGAUGUUCGAGGUAAGCCUAAACCUUGCUUUCUCAUUUUAUAUAUGCCAACUAGAUUUGUGUAUCAUCGACAUAAUUUAAUAUUUAAUUUGAUAAGUCUGAAGGAAUUACAUGCUAAUUUAAACACACUUUUAUUUACUUUGUCAAUUAAUCAAUUAAUUACUAUUUGGCUUGGUUUGGACGAAAUUCUCAUGAUGUUUUAAUUUCUUUAAAUUAAUUAAUUAAUUAACUCUGUUUUUAAGUCUUAAGUCUGGGCAUGUUUGCAGAAUUUGAUUCCUUCAAUAACUUAGAAGUGUUGGACAUGAGUUGGAACGAAAUCGACAAUCUUGUGGUUCCUCAAGGUAAACAAUUAAAAUAUUAUUCAAUUACAUUAUUUUAAUUCAUUUGAUUAGAGAAGGCCAAAAAGGUAAAAAAAAAAUUCAAUAAAGAAAUAGAGAAUUUGUAUUAUUUAAAAAACAGAAUGUAAUAAAGAUUUGAUUCUAGUUCUUUAAUCUUUAAAGCGAUUGAAAAACAAUGUUGGUCUUUUCGCAAAGCAUAAAAUACGAAUUGAAUGCCAAUUAACUUAAUCAUUCAUUUCGUUUAGCUCUAAAUUUAGACAAUGAAUUUUUAUAUUAUUUCAAAAACAGGACGUAAUAGAAUUUUUUUAAAAAUAGAUUGUAAUGAAGAUUUGAUUCCAAUUCUUUAAUCUUUACAGUGAUUGAAAAACGAUACUACUUCCCAAAGCAUAAAAUACGAAUUGACUCUCAAUUAAAUUAAUCAUUUAUUUCGUUCAUCUCUGAAUUUAAAUAAUGAAUUUUGAUCUUCAAUCUUUUCCUAAUUAUUAUUAAUAAACAGGUUACAGAGGUUUGAGGAAGUUGAAAAGCUUUGGUCUAUCGGGAGUUGGAAUUAGAGAUGGAAGCAAGUUGUUACAGUCAAUGAGAUCAUUCCCAUCCCUCAACACUCUUGACCUGACCGAUAAUAAUUUUACCAAUAUAGCGACCGCUACUCAAGGUAAGUAAAAGGUACAGAUGUGGCCAAAUUUAUAAAUAAAUUGUUUAUUAAUUAAUUUUUUCGUAUUAUUAAUUAAGCUAAAUUCGUUGCUCCUUCCUUCUAAAUCUAAACAGAGUUGCACAAUUUCACCAACUUGGAAUAUUUGACAUUGCACGGUUCCUCUCUCCAUAUAAGCCUUCUGCAAAGCAUUGCAUCAAUAUUCCCUUCGUUAAAAAAUCUGUCGAUGUCUUUUUGUGAAGUCAAUGGUGUUGUACGCGGUCAAGGUAAAAGAAAAGCGUUGAUUGUGAACUCACUCAAUGGUGUCCUACGUGUUCAACAUUUUUAUUUAUUAAUUUAUUUAUUGUUUAAUGUUUCUGCUAGGUUUUCCUCAUUUCAAGAGUUUGGAACAUUUUGACAUGAGCUCCACACGCAUUGCACUCAACACCAGCUUUCUUCAAAUCAUCGGUGAAUCGAUGCCUUCUCUUAAGUACUUAUCACUGUCAUAUUCUACUCUUGGCACUAACAGCAGCAGGAUUCUUGAUCAAGGUUAAUGAGAUGCUGCCACCCUCCCUUCUUAAUCUAUAAUAUUAAUUUUCGAUUAAAUAUUUAAUUACACAAACCAAUCACUUAUUAUAAAAGAAUAAUACGCAUUCAUUAAUUUUUAAAUUGUAUUAAUAAUUGAUGAAUUUAAUAAAUUUUCAGGCCUCUGUUCGUUGAUGCAUCUACAAGAGUUACACAUUGCUUAUAACGAUUUAAGAGGUAGCUUGCCUUGGUGCUUGGCAAAUAUGACAUCCCUCCGAAUAUUAGAUGUUUCUUCCAAUCAACUUACUGGAAGCAUCUCCUCAUCUCCCCUCGUUCAUUUGACAUCCAUUGAAGAGCUGAGGCUUUCAUACAACCACUUCCAGAUCCCAAUUUCACUUGAACCACUUUUCAAUCAUUCAAGACUCAAGAUUUUUUAUGCUGACAACAACGAACUAAAUGCAGAAAUAACUGAGUCACAUUCUUUGACCGCCCCAAACUUCCAAUUAUCACGUCUCUCAUUGUCUUCCAGUUACGGAGACAGUUUCAUAUUCCCCAAAUUCCUUUACCAUCAACAUGACCUGGAGUAUGUUGAUCUCUCACACAUAAAGAUGAAUGGAGAAUUUCCAACUUGGUUGUUGGAAAACAACACAAAAUUGAGACAACUUUCUCUCGUCAAUGAUUCUCUUGCAGGACAUUUCCGGUUGCCAAUUCAUUCACACAAGCGGUUAGGACUGUUGGAUAUAUCCAACAACAACUUCCGAGGCCACAUUCCAGUAAAAAUUGGAGAUGUUUUACCAAGUUUAUACGUUUUCAACAAUUCCAUGAAUGCUUUAGACGGUAGCAUUCCCUCUUCAUUUGGUAAUAUGAAAUUCCUCCAAAUUCUGGACUUAUCCAACAAUCACUUGACUGGUGAAAUCCCCGAGCACUUGGCCGUGGGUUGCGUCAACUUGCAGUCUCUUGCAUUAUCAAAUAACAACCUACAAGGUCAUUUGUUCUCUAGAAAUUUUAACUUGACAAACUUGCAAUGGUUACAAUUGGAGGGCAAUCGCUUCGUAGGUGAGAUCCCACAAAGUUUGUCUAAAUGCUCCUCACUAGAAGGAUUGUAUCUUAACAAUAAUAGUCUUUCGGGUAAGAUUCCACGAUGGUUGGGUAAUCUCACAUGGUUACAAUAUAUUAUACUGCCCAAUAAUCAUCUUGAAGGCCCUAUUCCAGUGGAGUUUUGUCAGCUUGAUUCGCUUCAGAUUUUGGACAUUUCAGACAACAACAUAUCUGGAAGUUUACCAUCUUGUUUCCAUCCUCUCUCUAUCAAACAAGUUCAUCUUUCAAAAAAUAUGUUACAUGGACAGCUAAAAAGAGGUACAUUCUUUAAUUGCUCUUCCCUUGUGACAUUAGAUCUUAGUUAUAACCGCUUGAAUGGCAGCAUUCCGGAUUGGGUUGAUGGGCUUUCUCGGUUAAGCCACCUUAUCUUAGGUCACAAUAAUCUUGAAGGUGAAGUGCCAGUUCAAUUGUGCAAAUUGAACCAACUACAAUUGUUAGAUCUUUCUAAUAAUAAUCUUCACGGUCUUAUUCCUCCUUGCUUUGAUAACACCACACUUCAUGAAAGUUACAGCAAUAGUUCUAGUCCUGAUGAGCAAUUUGAAAUAUUUUUUUCCAUCGAAGGCCCUCAGGGAGGUGUAGAAAAGCAAAUCCAUGAAAAUUUUGAGUUCACAACAAAGAACAAUGCAUACAUUUACCAAGGAAAAGUGCUUAGCCUCCUAUCAGGACUUGAUCUUUCUUGCAACAAGCUAAUCGGUCAUAUUCCUCCUCAAAUUGGAAAUUUGACAAGGAUUCAAACAUUGAAUCUAUCGCACAACAACUUGACAGGAUCGAUCCCAUCAACAUUUUCAAACUUGAAGUAUGUCGAAAGUUUGGAUCUUUCCAACAACAAAUUGAAUGGGAAAAUCCCUUAUCAACUAGUGGAGUUAAAGACAUUGGAGGUUUUCAGUGUGGCAUACAAUAACUUAUCAGGCGAAAUUCCAGAAUGGAAAGCACAAUUUGCAACCUUCAACGAGAGUAGCUAUGAGGGAAAUAUUUUUCUUUGUGGACUGCCAUUGCCUAUUUGCAUAUCACCAACAACUACGCAGGAGGCUUCAAUUGACAAUGAACGAGAUGAUAAUUUAAUUGACAUGGACAGUUUCUUUAUCACAUUUACAACAUCGUACGUAAUUGUGAUAUUCGGAAUUGUUAUUGUUUUAUAUGUAAAUUCUUAUUGGCGACGUAGAUGGUUUUACUUUGUUGAAAUGUGGAUAACUUCAUGUUAUUAUUUUAUUGUAGA